GAAUUUAGUUACAGUACUAGUAUCUAAUGUAAUUGUCAUUUAGGAAUGCAAACUUUUAGUAAAUAGUUUCACACUUAUUUAAGCCAUGAUGGACUGCAUAAAAAUACAAUUACAUGAAAACACAUUUUGCCAACAUAUGUCAUGAAACAUAUAUUUCUGAAACUUUGUGAUCAUUGUCCUCUAAAGAAAAAGACACGUUCUGG
rnacentral:lncRNA from 1 species